GAUGAACGCUAGCGGCAGGCCUAAUACAUGCAAGUCGAACGGGAUUGAGGAGCUUGCUCCUCAUGAGAGUGGCGCACGGGUGCGUAACACGUAUGUAACCUACCUUAAUCAGGGGAAUAGCCUCUCGAAAGAGAGAUUAAGACCGCAUAAAAUCACACUAUGGCAUCAUAGAAUGAUCAAAUAUUUAUAGGAUUAAGAUGGGCAUGCGGAACAUUAGCUAGUUGGUAAGGUAACGGCUUACCAAGGCUACGAUGUUUAGGGGAUCUGAGAGGAUGGCCCCCCACACUGGUCCUGAGACACGGACCAGACUCCUACGGGAGGCAGCAGUAAGAAAUAUUGGUCAAUGGGCGGAAGCCUGAACCAGCCAUGCCGCGUGCAGGAAGACGGCCCUACGGGUUGUAAACUGCUUUUGUACCGGAAUAAACCUACUUACGUGUAAGUAGCUGAAUGUACGGUAAGAAUAAGGAUCGGCUAACUCCGUGCCAGCAGCCGCCGUAA
rnacentral:rRNA from 1 species